rnacentral:rRNA from 1 species
GACGUAGGGGGCGAGCGUUGUCCGAAGUUACUGGGCGUAAAGCGCGCGUAGGCGGUGCGUUAAGGGAGGUGUGAAAGGCCCCGGCUCAACCGGGGGAGCGCACUUCCGACUGGCGCACUUGAGGGCAGGAGAGGGGCGUGGAAUUCCUGGUGGAGCGGUGAAAUGCGUAGAGAUCAGGAAGAACACCCGUGGCGAAGGCGGCGCUCUGGCCUGUGUCUGACGCUGAGGUGCGAAGGCGUGGGGAGCGAACGGG